AUGCAAGUCGAACGCUUUUUCUUUCACCGGAGCUUGCUCCACCGAAAGGAAAAGAGUGGCGAACGGGUGAGUAACACGUGGGUAACCUGCCCAUCAGAAGGGGAUAACACUUGGAAACAGGUGCUAAUACCGUAUAACACUAUUUUCCGCAUGGAAGAAAGUUGAAAGGCGCUUUUGCGUCACUGAUGGAUGGACCCGCGGUGCAUUAGCUAGUUGGUGAGGUAACGGCUCACCAAGGCAACGAUGCAUAGCCGACCUGAGAGGGUGAUCGGCCACACUGGGACUGAGACACGGCCCAGACUCCUACGGGAGGCAGCAGUAGGGAAUCUUCGGCAAUGGACGAAAGUCUGACCGAGCAACGCCGCGUGAGUGAAGAAGGUUUUCGGAUCGUAAAACUCUGUUGUUAGAGAAGAACAAGGAUGAGAGUAAAAUGUUCAUCCCUUGACGGUAUCUAACCAGAAAGCCACGGCUAACUACGUGCCAGCAGCCGCGGUAAUACGUAGGUGGCAAGCGUUGUCCGGAUUUAUUGGGCGUAAAGCGAGCGCAGGCGGUUUCUUAACUCUGAUGUGAAAGCCCCCGGCUCACCCGGGGAGGGUCAUUGGAAACUGGGGAGAC
rnacentral:rRNA from 1 species